rnacentral:tRNA from 1 species
GCGAAGGUGGCGGAAUUGUUAGACGCGCUAGCUUCAGGUGUAAGUGUCCUUUCGGACGUGGGUGUUCAAGUCCCCCCCCUCGCACCA